rnacentral:snRNA from 1 species
GUUCAUUUUGCUUGCACAUAUACUAAAAUCAGAAUGACAGAAGAUUAUCAUGACCCCUUCAUAGGGAUGAUUCACACGUUUGUGAAGUUUUCCAUAUUUUA